rnacentral:rRNA from 1 species
UACGAAGGGGGCUAGCGUUGCUCGGAAUGACUGGGCGUAAAGGGCGCGUAGGCGGAUUGUACAGUCAGGCGUGAAAUUCCUGGGCUCAACCUGGGGGCUGCGUUUGAUACGUAUGGUCUUGAGUUCGGAAGAGGGUCGUGGAAUUCCGAGUGUAGAGGUGAAAUUCGUAGAUAUUCGGAAGAACACCAGUGGCGAAGGCGGCUCACUGGCUCGAUACUGACGCUGAGGUGCGAAAGCGUGGGGAGCAAACAGG